CUGUAAAACACUUUUCAAAGUUAUCCCUUGUUCAUCAUAACUUUUAAGUUGUGAUAUCAUCCAUGAAAAAUGAUCGAAGUGACAUGAAAACUGUAGCCACUAAUUUCUCGUCAAACGGUUUUUGACGAAUACUAAAUGUCUUUCCUACUUCGUUAUGGCAUAAUAGGGUAUGUUCUAGAAUUAAAUCAGCAGUGGCUUCCCGGGGGCAGAAAUAGCACAUAUAACCACCUACAAUAAAAUAAUUUAAACAAUAUUAACUAUAUUUACUAUUUACUUCAGGAUAAAUUAUUUUUUGUUUACUGUCUUAAUAAGAAAUCUGAUGUAAGGUGACACAUGCGUGUCGCCUGACAAUUAUUGUCAUGUAUCAUAAUUUCCAUCGCUCAUUCACAUAUUUUGUGGC
rnacentral:lncRNA from 1 species